rnacentral:rRNA from 1 species
GUGAACGCUGGCGGUAGGCCUAACACAUGCAAGUCGCACGGCAGCACAGUAAGAGCUUGCUCUUACGGGUGGCGAGUGGCGGACGGGUGAGGAAUACAUCGGAAUCUACUUUUUCGUGGGGGAUAACGUAGGGAAACUUACGCUAAUACCGCAUACGACCUACGGGUGAAAGCAGGGGAUCUUCGGACCUUGCGCGAUUGAAUGAGCCGAUGUCGGAUUAGCUAGUUGGCGGGGUAAAGGCCCACCAAGGCGACGAUCCGUAGCUGGUCUGAGAGGAUGAUCAGCCACACUGGAACUGAGACACGGUCCAGACUCCUACGGGAGGCAGCAGUGGGGAAUAUUGGACAAUGGGCGCAAGCCUGAUCCAGCUAUACCGCGUGGGUGAAGAAGGCCUUCGGGUUGUAAAGCCCUUUUGUUGGGAAAGAAAAGCAGCAGGUUAAUACCCCGCUGUUCUGACGGUACCCAAAGAAUAAGCACCGGCUAACUUCGUG